CCUCGCCCGGCACUGGAGAAAGAGGUAAGUUUAACCCCUUCCACCCCCUAGAGCCUGGAGGGAGGGGGACCCUGAGGGUGGGGGCACCGUCAGGGCACUAUAGUGCCAGGAAAACGAGUAUGUUUUCCUGGCACUAUAGUAGUCCUUUAAACAGGCUGGCUACAGAGCGUUUAAUUUCAAAUAAGCGGUGCGCCUUCGCUUCUUCCCUCCGUAGGGAGGGGUAAAUCAACCAAUCAGAUACGGAUCCUGCCCCUAGUGGGUCCACAAUUUACCUUUUAGUUCCUGGACCUGGGUUCACACUCAUCAGCGGGACACCCCGGUACUCACUGCGUAGAAGCCGAUGAUCUCCUGGACAACAGGCCAGUGGCGCCGAGACGAAAGGAGGUCCACGCAGAAGUCCAGGGGUGCUGCCGUGGAAGAUUUGGUAAAAGGUUACCGUCUCAAAUCUCUAUGCCGGCUUCCAUGCGAUGAGAUUCCCGGCCCAAUAGCACCAGUAAUGUAGCAGGAAUAAGCCGCAGAAGCCACAAACAGAGAGAUGGAAGCAGGUUCGUUCAGUAAGAAAAAGGUCUUUAUUGUUACCGAUCGGGUCUCAGAUGAACUCCUGUUCUAAAAAUGUCUGAGCACAGACUGCAAAUGAUUUUUAUUAACAAUAACUCCUCCUUUAACUAGUUCCACUCACACAUACCCUUCGACCAGUCAGUGAACAGGAUAUUCAGGAUCACCUCAUAUGGGCAGACUGCAUGACUCCUUUUUAAGGACAAAGGAAUGUGAGUACAGUUGAUGCACAUGCUCAGUACAUUGAUGACAGUAUCUUAGCUACAUGUAACUAACAGAUACAACAAACACCUGUACUUGUAUAUACCACAUGGAGAUUUCAGGCUUACUGAAUUUUGAACCAUGUUGAAAUCCCAUCACAUUCCCCCCUUUGAUGCUUCUGAUACAAAAGUAUUCCAGAUGCAUCACCAAUCAUGUGCCAACACCACUCAGGUAACCAUGAGCUGGGACAGACCUUAUAAACAUUCUAACUUAACUCUAUUACCUCUCAACACUCAUCGAC